rnacentral:tRNA from 1 species
UAGCUCAGAGGAAGAGCAUCUGCCUGGCAAGCGCAAGGCCCUGAGUUCGGUUCUCAG